UACGAAGGGGGCUAGCGUUGCUCGGAAUCACUGGGCGUAAAGGGUGCGUAGGCGGGUCCUUAAGUCAGGGGUGAAAUCCUGGAGCUCAACUCCAGAACUGCCUUUGAUACUGAGGAUCUUGAGUUCGGGAGAGGUGAGUGGAACUGCGAGUGUAGAGGUGAAAUUCGUAGAUAUUCGCAAGAACACCAGUGGCGAAGGCGGGUCACUGGUGCGCAACUGACGCUGAGGCACGAAAGCGUGGGGAGCAAACAGG
rnacentral:rRNA from 1 species